rnacentral:lncRNA from 1 species
AAUCACAGCCAGCUGUUACAACAGCCAGACAUCGGUGGCAGUUCCUAGCAGGGGGGGCUCCCCACCCUACAGCAGCUCUACCUGCCUGGGGCCGGCGGGGGGGCUCGGGGAGCACCUGAGGCAACCACGGAGGAGGAGGAGAAGGUGAAGAAGAAGGAGGAGAAGAAGGAGGAGAAGGAGGCGCUCGUCUCCUGCCACUGGGGCUCUCCCAGCACCGGGGAGCCGCGGGAGGAGUUACCUGGGCGAGCUGUGGAGGCCAUUUCCCGGGGAGAAACGCGCCCGGGGGACUUCCGCUGCAUGGAGGAAGACGCUUUUUACUAGAGAUUUAACUUGCUUAAAGAUAUCAAGGUAGGAGAUUUUUUUCCCCCUACAUUUUCUUUACUGUAUCUGUUUAAAU